rnacentral:lncRNA from 1 species
ACAAUUUUUCUCACGUCCCUUUUCCUUUCCGUUAUUUUCUCUCUUCGUCAAUAAAGUUUUCCACACACAC